AACCAGUUUUAAGUUCAUUAGUUGUUUUUUAUUAGUAACUCAGGUAGUUGGAGUUCCUGAGAAACUAUAAUCUAGAUAAUCGUAGUGUAGCAUGGUCUCAAUUCUAACAACCCUGAUUACAAAAUCUCCUAGAAGUAACAGCCAGUUCAAUGAGAUGUAUGAUCAGCUUCAUCUUGUUUGACAAAAAGCAAUUAAGCUGCACAAGAAAAGAUUUAAAAAGCAUUUAGAUAAUCUUUUUCUUAUUUUUUUUGUUAAUUGUAUAUUUGAGUUGUUUCAAACAGUGUAUGAGAGCAUCUGAGAGUAAUACCUACUCUGCUUCAUGUCGAAAUGUUAAAAGUUACCAGAUGUCCUUGAUUCAUCUUGGCAGUCCCCAUGUGCUUUUUGUCAUUUGUCUAAUCGCAGAGGACACUAAUUAAAAUGAAAUAGAGUAGAACUUUGCACUCAGGAUACUUUGUCAAGUUUUGGCACUGUGGUCAAGUUAGUAUUGUUUUGAUUCGAUAUUAAAUAAAGAGCUUAUGGCCCUAAGCCAUGUUGACAUUUGUUUCUGGGAGGGAAGGUGAAAAACCAUUCUUAUUAACCUGCAAUGUGGAACAUAUGGUGGCUGUGGGUGGUAUGGCUAAGUUAGGCAGCCAGGAACCUGCUAUCACUUCACUGUGUGGAGACAGCGGGGUGGGCAAUUACCGCAGAAGGUAGCCACGCUGCUGCUUGCUGCUGUCCAGAAAAGGAAGCUCGAAAUGCGAGGUAUUAUCAAGCCGUUUGCGAGGGUUCAUUUCAGUACUUUCCGUGUUUUGGGUGACAGCUGGAGGCUGCACAUCUCGGAAGCCAUGGGGCUGUAAUAUAAACCGUCUGCUGAAGCAGCUCAACAGGAUUAAGGGGGAAAAAAAAACACGGGGAUAAUCUGAAGUUUUAACUAAUCUUUGAUUAGGAUGCAUGCUCAACUGUAUUUCAAGAUAGUGUGCAUUCACAUGGAUGAGGAGAGCAUAGCUGUUUUAUAAUAUGUAUAAAGCUGAAAAGGCAAUUAAACUAAGAUAAAAUCCAUGCGUUUGGCAGCUGGAGAGAGAGGGCUACACAGUCACUCCACAUGAUCUAAACAACCUUAGAAUGCGUUCCCAUUUACCCUUCCAGUCUUUACAGAUCUUAAAAAAAAACAAAACAAAACAUAUAAAGUGAUAUUUCAUCUAUCCAGGUGAAUAUAUUUAGAAGUGAGGGAAAAAAAAUCAGAUUUCUACUCAAUAGUUUGAAGACCUCAUUUUAUGGCAGCAUUAAAAUCUGCAGGAAAUGCUAUGGCAACGUGUUUCCAUGAGGACACACAGCAAAUAGCUAUGGCAUGUACCUAUGUAUCUGACAUUUGAAGAUAUAAAAGUUGAGUGCUUGCUUUUUAACCUAUAAACACUUUAGACAAUAUAUAUUCUCAUUAAUAUGCAUCUAAGCACUCCACAAAAGAAAAUCAUAGAAUUUACUUAGGGCUGAAUAAGGACUCCAGCUGGAGGCUCAUCAUUUAAUAGUGAUGGAAGAAGAAAAUCUGUAGGUACUGCCUGGUCAUAAGGUCACUGGUAGGACACUACAAAAGCUACAAAAGACCUAAGUACAACCUGUGUUAUAUCAGGCAAAGUACUUAGAGCAGAGAUGUGGAAAUAUGUAUGGCAUAAAGCACUGCUAAGGCCUCUGGAAUACCAUAUGUGAUGCUCAUUCUUGUCCUAAAAAAAAUACAUUCAAACUGCAACAGAUGCAGAGAGGAGCCACUGGGGAAACAAACAGUCUGACAAGAGAGAAAGCAGCCUGGCUUGCUGAGGUCUCCCGAAAGGAAGGCUCAGAGUGCAAGACUGUCUUCUGGAAUCGCACAUAGGCCAAGAGUCAACAUCAAGGGCAGAAAAACUAAGCAGCAAUAGCACAAGAAGAAUACACGUUACCUGUAAAUUUGUUCUUGAAAUCAAACUCUUUUAACUCUUAAGAGCAGUAACAUGAUGGAACAUUUUUAUAAAAAGGAGCAAAAUAUUCAUUAACCUGGAGACAUCCCAGUAUUCCUGGCUAAGUAAGCUGAAAUGCAACACUAAGAAAGCAAACUGCAUUCUCAGAUUUGUCUGUAUCUGAAAAGUUACAUCUAACACUUCUUUAUCUCCAUCCCAAAAGAAAUACUAACUGUAAUGGUAUAUGGUAUGGUUGACUCCUUCUGGCUCGGUGAUUUGUACAACGUUGCCAACCUGGUUAAACAAAAACAAAUAAUAAUCAUCAGUGAUUCAAUAAUACAAAAUUCCAAGUAACCAAAUGAUCAGACCCAAGUUUUCCCACAAUCAUGGAGUAGAUCACCAGUGCAAUUCCUAUGUGUGUAUUUUCAUAUAGGUUGUAUAAAUUGUGGAUGCCAAAAUCCCCUCCCUGUGCGACCUGUCAGCUAAAAUACAAUACAGGCCUACUAACAAAGAAUGACUAAUUAGCCUUGCUUCAUUACAGUAUUUCAUCACUUUUUUGGAACAAUAUUAAUUCUGAAUUAAUUUCAAAUGCCACUUUCUUAAAAUGCAAACAAAAAAGGUUUUGAGCAUAAUUCUUUCCUACUACAUUAAGCAAUCGUUUGUUGCUUCACCUCUCAGGGUUGGGAGAUACUCGAAAGAAUUCAAAAACUUUCUGGGAGUUUUUUUCCUAGGUAUUUCACAAGGCUGUCAAUAUAACCUAGUAGAUGAAGAAUGAGAACAAAAUGUUCUAUUUCUAAGCCUGACCUUGCCACUGACAUACAGCAUAGCUUUGAGUAAAUCAUUUCUCUUGUAUUUCUCCUUUAACACUUUUUUGAUUUUGUUCAUUUAGAUUCUAAGCAAUGUAUCUUGAUUUCUGCUUAUGCAGCACCUAGCCCAGUAACUGCUUGUAUAACACCGACUGAAGAUUGCAAAACACCUCAACAGCAUGAGAUUUUUCAACCAGUUCCAUGACUGCUAGUCUGCACCAAGCCCACCUGCCCAAAACUAAUUCAGAAAGCCUGCCCAAAGCCAAUUCAGAAAGUGUUCUCUCUGUUCCAGGACAGCUUACCAAGGAUCUUGUUAAUUAUUUUUUUUUCCCCUCCCUGAGGUGCCAUUCUAUUAGAGAGCACGUAAUUACAGCCUGAGGAACACUGCCACUUCAUAUUAGCUACGCAGGGAAUUCCUCAGAACAUGUAAGUGGUGGGUUACACUUUACAAAACAGCCUAAAUCUGAAGCUGUAGAAGCCAUGCUUUUACAAGCGCUCAGCUGGAGCUCUGCUGC